UAGAGGGGUGCUCGAAAGAGAGCCGUAACACAGGUGCUGCAUGGCUGUCGUCAGCUCGUGUCGUGAGAUGUUGGUUAAGUCCCGCAACGAGCGCAACCCUUGUCAUUAGUUGCUACAUUCAGUUGGGCACUCUAAUGAGACUGCCGGUGACAAGCCGGAGGAAGUGGGGAUGACGUCAAGUCCUCAUGGCCCUUAUAGGUGGGGCUACACACGUCAUACAAUGGCUGGUACAAAGGGUUGCCAACCCGCGAGGGGGAGCCAAUCCCAUAAAGCCAGUCGUAGUCCGGAUCGUAGUCUGCAACUCGACUACGUGAAGUCGGAAUCGCUAGUAAUCGUGGAUCAGAAUGUCACGGUGAAUACGUUCCCGGGUCUU
rnacentral:rRNA from 1 species